UACAGAGGGGGCAAGCGUUGUUCGGAAUUACUGGGCGUAAAGGGCGCGUAGGCGGCCUUCUAAGUCGAACGUGAAAUCCCCGGGCUCAACCCGGGAACUGCGUCCGAUACUGGAAGGCUUGAAUCCAGGAGAGGGAUGCGGAAUUCCAGGUGUAGCGGUGAAAUGCGUAGAUAUCUGGAGGAACACCGGUGGCGAAGGCGGCAUCCUGGACCGGCAUUGACGCUGAGGCGCGAAAGCCAGGGGAGCAAACGGG
rnacentral:rRNA from 1 species